UACGAAGGGGGCUAGCGUUGCUCGGAAUCACUGGGCGUAAAGCGCACGUAGGCGGCUUUUUAAGUCAGGGGUGAAAUCCUGGAGCUCAACUCCAGAACUGCCUUUGAUACUGGGAAGCUUGAGUCCGGGAGAGGUGAGUGGAACUCCGAGUGUAGAGGUGAAAUUCGUAGAUAUUCGGAAGAACACCAGUGGCGAAGGCGGCUCACUGGUCCGGUACUGACGCUGAGGUGCGAAGGCGUGGGGAGCAAACAGG
rnacentral:rRNA from 1 species